GACGAACGCUGGCGGCGUGCUUAACACAUGCAAGUCGAACGGUAAGGCCCUUCGGGGUACACGAGUGGCGAACGGGUGAGUAACACGUGGGUGAUCUGCCCUGCACUUCGGGAUAAGCCUGGGAAACUGGGUCUAAUACCGGAUAGGACCACUGCCUGCAUGGGUGGUGGUGGAAAGCUUUUGCGGUGUGGGAUGGGCCCGCGGCCUAUCAGCUUGUUGGUGGGGUGAUGGCCUACCAAGGCGACGACGGGUAGCCGGCCUGAGAGGGGGACCGGCCACACUGGGACUGAGAUACGGCCCAGACGCCUACGGGAGGCAGCAGUGGGAAUAUUGCACAAUGGGCGCAAGCCUGAUGCAGCGACGCCGCGUGAGGGAUGACGGCCUUCGGGUUGUAAACCUCUUUCAGCACCGACGAAGCGCAAGUGACGGUAGGUGCAGAAGAAGGACCGGCCAACUACGUGCCAGCCGCCGCCGUAA
rnacentral:rRNA from 1 species